rnacentral:lncRNA from 10 species
GCGGCCGCUGCAGCUGCGGCUAGCCCGGGCUACCGGCUGAGCACCCUCAUUGAAUUUCUGCUGCACCGGGCCUACUCGGAGCUUAUGGUGUUGACGGACCUACUGCCAAGGAAAUCUGAUGUGGAAAGGAAAAUAGAAAUAGUGCAGUUUGCUAGCCGGACACGCCAACUCUUCGUUCGAUUAUUAGCUUUAGUGAAAUGGGCUAAUAAUGCUGGCAAAGUGGAAAAAUGUGCGGUGAGUUAAACUUUUUAUUUUACUUUGUAUAAAAUAACUUUUCGAAUGUUAUGAUAGACAUAGUUUUACAUUUUAGCUUUAACUUAUCCCUGCUGAUUUGAGUGACAUGUGAAUAAUCAUAUUUCUGAAUGAUAAUGUAUAUUUCUGCAGAAACUUAGUAUUUGUUUAUGGACACCUGAUCAGAAAGAAGAGGAGAUAGCUGGAGACAUCAUUACGUGAGGAGACUUUAAAUAUGAGACUGGAACUAAAGGGGGAAAAUUGUUAGUUUAUAUUCGUGCUAUUCCUUAGAAU